rnacentral:rRNA from 1 species
UGGGGAAUAUUGGACAAUGGGCGAAAGCCUGAUCCAGCCAUGCCGCGUGAGUGAAGAAGGCCUUCGGGUUGUAAAGCUCUUUUAGUCGGAAAGAAAGAGUUGCAAUGAAUAAUUGUGAUUUAUGACGGUACCGACAGAAAAAGCACCGGCUAACUACGUGCCAGCAGCCGCGGUAAUACGUAGGGUGCGAGCGUUAAUCGGAAUUACUGGGCGUAAAGGGUGCGCAGGCGGUCUUGCAAGUCAGAUGUGAAAGCCCCGGGCUUAACCUGGGAAUUGCGUUUGAAACUACAAGACUAGAGUGCAGCAGAGGGGAGUGGAAUUCCAUGUGUAGCAGUGAAAUGCGUAGAGAUGUGGAAGAACACCGAUGGCGAAGGCAGCUCCCUGGGUUGACACUGACGCUCAUGCACGAAAGCGUGGGGAGCAAACA